rnacentral:sRNA from 1 species
AUUUCUGAAAAUGUAUUCCACAAAAACAGAGUGUUCAUAUAGUUGCAUCACAUUUAGGAUUGAGUCUAGGAUGUUUCAUAUAGGAUUGUCGCAUAUGCAUUGGGGAUUAUGAUGAGAUAGCCUUGUAAGCAUUUUUGUUCAUCGUUUCUAGUUGUCUGAUGUGUAGUCAAUGAAAUUGAAGUAAAACUGCACCAUGUCUUGAAUGCUCUACUCGAUCACACUGUUAUUAUCUGAUACCAUUCCCUAUCAAUUUGAACCUGAAUCUGACUUGCAAUUAUCAUGUCUUAGCAUCGAAUUUGAACUCAUGGAUACCAUAUACAUACUUGGGUU